GUAAAGUCUCCAGGGACAGAGCAUCAACUAAAACACUAGUGCUACAAGAUCCCUGGAAAUUCAAGAGGGAUACAAAAUACAAUGCAUUCUGCAGCAUUUUGAAUCGGAUGAGGUUUUCAUUCUUGCGUUAUUUCGGCACCCUGACUGCUUGAAGGGCCUCUGCUGACCUCAGACUGCCUGCUACAGGGUCCAGCUCUGCAUGCAUCAUGUUAUUUGAGGAAACCCUUAUCUGGACACAUGAAGUGCAGGGGGAUGGGUUAUGUCACAAGCAGAAUUCCAUCUGCCAGCUCUAUUACUCUAAGAACAGGUAUCACUUCUGAAGAAUAUGGACGCAGCAUAUAAAUGGGAAUUCAGAGAAGACACACGUCAAACUAAUAAGUGACACAAAUAUUUGUUUUUUUAUGCCACUUCACCCCACAAAUUCCCUAAAGAUUCCAUCACUGGACUUAACCAGACUUUAUUCUGCUACUGAUUCAUUAUCUGGAGCAGAAAAGAGAUCCAAUUAAGUGUAAGCCAUGGUAAAUUAUAUUAAAUACAUUUCCAAUUUGAUAAUCUAAUACCACACCUAUACAAAAUAACAUUAUCUAUCCAGUACAGAAGUCUAUGGUUUUCUUUAGAAUGUCUUUGGUUGGACUAGAUGAUCUUUAAAGAUCACUUUUGACUCAAACGAUUCUAUGAUCCUAUGAUUUUAAAUAGAACAAAAAGAAAAAUUAACCACUGAGAAUAAUGAAAAGGCUGAAGUACUCAAUGCCUUCUAUACAUGUCUUUAAAAGUCAGAUCAGUUAUCCUCAAGGUACUCUACCCACUGACUUGGAAGUCUGGGAUGGGGAGCAGAAUAAAACCUUCAUGAUCAGCUGGAAACAGUUAAAGACCUGCUACUCCACCUGGGCUGUCAGAAGUCCCUGGGGCUGAUGGGAUUCACCCAAGGGUGCUGAGGGUGCUGGUGAAGGUGACUGCCCACCCUCUUUCCACCAUCUAUCAGCGUCCAUGGACAACUGGAGAGAGGCCUCAGAGGAUUGGAGGCUUGCCAACAUGACUCCCAUUGACAAGAAGAGUUGUAAAGAGGAUUCAGGUAUCUACAGGCCUGUCAGCCUGACCUCAGGGACAGGGAGGGUAAUGGAAGAGAUCACCUCAAGUGCAAUCACAUGGUAUGUGUAGGACAACUGAGGGAUCAGCCAGCAUAGGUUCACGGAGGGCUGGUCCUGCUUGGCCAACUUCAUCUUCUAUGAUCGAGUGACCCACCUGGUAGAUGAGGGAAAAGAUGUUGAUUUGUCUUCCAAGACUUCAGCAAAGCCUUUGACACUGUCUUCCAGAGCAUUCUCCAGGGGAAGCUGGCAUCUCAUGGCCUGGACAAGUACACUCUUUGCUAGAUAAAGAAUUGGCUGGAGGGCCAGACACAGAGAGUGCUGGUAAAUGGAAUUACACUUAGCUGGCAACCAGUUCAUGAGUGAUUCCCCAGGGGUCAGCACUGGGGCCUGUCCUGUUCAAUACCUUUACCGAUUAUUUGAAUGAAGGGAUUGAGUGCACCCUCAGUUAAAUUUGCAAAUGACACCAAGUUGGGAGGAAGUGUCCAUCUGCCAAGGGGUAAAAAGGCCCUUCAGAGAGAUUUGGACAGGCUGGAUCACUGUGGAGAGGUCAAGGUGAUGAAGUCCAACAAGACCAAGUGCCAGGCCCUGCAUUUUGGCCACAACAACUCCAAGCAAUGCUACAGGUGUAGGGUAGGGUUGCUGGCAGACUUAGCAGAAGAAAUUGGCCUACGGAUGCUGGUCUAUGCACAGCUGAACAUGAACCAGCAGUAUGUUCAGGUGGCCAAGAAGGCCAACGGCAUCCUGGCUUGUAUCAGAAAUAGUGCAGACAGCAGGAGCAAGGAAGUGAUCCUCACUCUGUAAUCAGCUUUGGUGAGGCCACAUUUUGAGCACUGUGUUCAGUUUUGGGCCUCUCACUA